GGGGCCAUAGCUCAGCGGUAGAGCUUCUGCCUUGCAUGCAGAAGGUGCUAGGUUCAAUCCCUGGUAUCUCCA